GCUUGCUGGGUACUCGAGUGGCGAACGGGUGAGUAACACGUGGGUGAUCUGCCCUGCACUCUGGGAUAAGCCUGGGAAACUGGGUCUAAUACCGGAUAUGACCAACUGUCGCAUGGUGGUUGGUGGAAAGCUUUUGCGGUGUGGGAUGGGCCCGCGGCCUAUCAGCUUGUUGGUGGGGUAAUGGCCUACCAAGGCGACGACGGGUAGCCGACCUGAGAGGGUGAUCGGCCACACUGGGACUGAGACACGGCCCAGACUCCUACGGGAGGCAGCAGUGGGGAAUAUUGCACAAUGGGCGCAAGCCUGAUGCAGCGACGCCGCGUGAGGGAUGACGGCCUUCGGGUUGUAAACCUCUUUCACCAGGGACGAAGCGUGAGUGACGGUACCUGGAGAAGAAGCACCGGCCAACUACGUGCCAGCAGCCGCGGUAAUACGUAGGGUGCGAGCGUUGUCCGGAAUUACUGGGCGUAAAGAGCUCGUAGGCGGUUUGUCGCGUCGUCUGUGAAAUUCUGCAACUCAAUUGCAGGCGUGCAGGCGAUACGGGCAGACUUGAGUACUACAGGGGAGACUGGAAUUCCUGGUGUAGCGGUGAAAUGCGCAGAUAUCAGGAGGAACACCGGUGGCGAAGGCGGGUCUCUGGGUAGUAACUGACGCUGAGGAGCGAAAGCGUGGGUAGCGAACAGGAUUAGAUACCCUGGUAGUCCACGCCGUAAACGGUGGGUACUAGGUGUGGGUUCCUUUUCACGGGAUCCGUGCCGUAGCUAACGCAUUAAGUACCCCGCCUGGGG
rnacentral:rRNA from 1 species